rnacentral:rRNA from 1 species
GGACCCGCACAAGUAGUGGAGCAUGUGGUUUAAUUCGAAGAUACGCGCAGAACCUUACCAACACUUGACAUGUUCGUCGCGACUUUGAGAGAUCAAAGUUUUCGGUUCGGCCGGACGAAACACAGGUGCUGCAUGGCUGUCGUCAGCUCGUGUCGUGAGAUGUUGGGUUAAGUCCCGCAACGAGCGCAACCCUCACUUUUAGUUGCCAUCAUUAAGUUGGGCACUCUGAAAGAACUGCCAGUGAUAAGCUGGAGGAAGGUGGGGAUGACGUCAAGUCCUCAUGGCCCUUACGUGUUGGGCUACACACGUGCUACAAUGGUAUCUACAACAGGAAGCGAGACUGCGAGGUUAAGCAAAUCCUAAAAAGAUACCUCAGUUCGGAUUGCACUCUGCAACUCGAGUGCAUGAAGCUGGAAUUACUAGUAA